rnacentral:rRNA from 1 species
UUUGUAGUCACCUGCUCAUGAAUUUUAAUAGCCGCGGAAAAUUUAACUGUGCUAAGGUAGCAUAAUCAUUAGUCCCCUAAUUAGGGACUUGUAUGAAAGGUAAAACAUUUUAAUCUCUUUCUUUUUUAUUAGAAUUUAAGUUAAAUUAAGAAUAAAAAUGUUCUUAUUUUUAAAAUAGACGAUAAGACCCUUUUGAACUUUACUACUGUUUAGCUGGGGCAGCUAAAUAAUAAUAGUCUUUAAUUUUAUUCUUUUUAUAAAUGACCCAAAACAUUUGAGUAGAUGAUCAAGUUACCAUAGGGAUAACAGCGUAAUUUCUUUUUAAAGCUCUUAUUAAAAAAGAAGAUUGCGACCUCGAUGUUGAAUUAAUGUUCCUUUUAGGUGCAAUAACUUUAAGAGUAGGUCUGUUCGACCUAUAAAACAUUACAUGAUCUGAGUUCAAACCGGAGA